rnacentral:tRNA from 1 species
GCCUUUGUAGCAUAGUGGUAGUGCGUUCGCUUCGUAAGCGAAAGGUCGUGAGUUCAAUCCUCACCAGAGGCU